UAAUAUUUUGACAAAAAACAUUUUUUUUUUUAUUUAACUCAGAAUAAAUCUAUCUGGUUUAGUUUUAGGUUUAGAAGUAUAAACGCGAUGUUUCACUGCGCUCACUUAUACAAUUUUAUUUUAAUCGAAAAUAACCUCCGAUUUGUUGUGCUAAACCGCGUCAGGUAGGUAAUAUGGAAAAGUGAAAAGCAUGAUAGGUGAAAUUAGAGACCCAAUGCAGUGUUGGGAAGGAACGCGUUCCAAGCUUCGUUGAAAUGAACCUGAAUUUCCGUUCCUUCCAUUAGGAAAAAAAAAAUGAAACGCGCAUUAUUUUAGUGAUAAAUAUUGUUUAGAAAUUGUUGUUUAGUGUUGAUCACGAAAUAAGAUUUAUAGGAUACACAACGAGCACUUAUCAGUUGUUAUGAGAACUUUGUUUCGUUCUUGAAUUAACAGGUAGCGCUUAAAGGUGGGACUGGCGGGUUUUGUACUUAUAACAUAAUGUCCAUCUAUACUACUCGUAUUACAUAAAUUGUAAUAUACUAUUAUUAUUAAAUUGUAAGAGGUUUCCUACGACCGCGCUAACCGAGAAAACUACCAAACCGAUUUGGCUGAAAUUUUUUACUGUUAUACCCGACACUCUGCUGAAAGUUUUAGUACCACUUUUGUCAAU